GCCCAGGAAUCUGCCCGGUAGUGGGGGAUAACGUCCGGAAACGGACGCUAAUACCGCAUACGUCCUACGGGAGAAAGUGGGGGAUCUUCGGACCUCACGCUAUCAGAUGAGCCUAGGUCGGAUUAGCUAGUUGGUGAGGUAAUGGCUCACCAAGGCGACGAUCCGUAACUGGUCUGAGAGGAUGAUCAGUCACACUGGAACUGAGACACGGUCCAGACUCCUACGGGAGGCAGCAGUGGGGAAUAUUGGACAAUGGGCGAAAGCCUGAUCCAGCCAUGCCGCGUGUGUGAAGAAGGUCUUCGGAUUGUAAAGCACUUUAAGUUGGGAGGAAGGGCAGUAAAUUAAUACUUUGCUGUUUUGACGUUACCGACAGAAUAAGCACCGGCUAACUCUGUGCCAGCAGCCGCGGUAAUACAGAGGGUGCAAGCGUUAAUCGGAAUUACUGGGCGUAAAAGCGCGCGUAGGUGGUUUGUUAAGUUGAAUGUGAAAUCCCCGGGCUCAACCUGGGAACUGCAUCCAAAACUGGCAAGCUAGAGUAUGGAAGAGGGUGGUGAAAUUUCCUGUGUAGCGGUGAAAUGCGUAGAUAUAGGAAGGAACACCAGUGGCGAAGGCGACCACCUGGACUGAUACUGACACUGAGGUGCGAAAGCGUGGGGAGCAAACAGGGAUUAGAUACCCUGGUAGUCCACGCCGUAAACGAUGUCAACUAGCCGUUGGGAGCCUUGAGCUCUUAAUGGCGC
rnacentral:rRNA from 1 species